UGGUGAAACCCUGUCUCUACUAAAAAUACAAAAAUUAGCUGGGCAUGGUGGCAGGCACGUGUAAUCCCAGCUACUCGAGUAGCCACUGGUACCCAUGCCACUGUACUCCAGCCUGGGGACAGAGCGAGACUCUGUCUCAAAAAAAUAAAAAAGAAGGCAAAACAAUUACAAGACAUAUUAAGAGAGUGUGAUAAGAUAUAGGAUGCUACAUAGAUACACAAAAAACAAUAGCUUUUUUCUUUUCUUUUUUUUUUUUUUUUGUCACCUAGGCUGGAGUACAGUGGCGCAAUCUCGGCUCACUGCAACCUCUGCCUCCCGGGUUCAAGUGAUUCUCAUGCUUCAGCCUCCUGAGUAGCUGGGACUACAGUGGAAUGGAAUCAAAUGGGCAUCUUGAGAGCAGGAAACCUCCUUGUUGCCAUUGUAUCCCUAGAGCCUCACAUAGGCUUCAGGAGUGUUGACCAUGAUCCUUAUAAUAGGUGAGGAAAGAUGUCACCUUUCUGCCCCCUGUAGUUUCUGGCACCCAAAGUAGGGGUGGCUGAGACACCUAAUUUGCUCUGGAACCUGCAGAAUAGAUCCUGGGACAACUGACAAACAGCCGGCAAAGAAAAGCUCCUGUCUCCUCCAUUUGUUGAUCGGUGGAUGGAAAAUUACUAAAAGGAAACAUGAGAGGUAAGAAGAAUUCAGGUUUCUAUGGCCAAACUUUAGUCAGGCUUCUGAACCUUCUCCAAGGCCCAUCUCUGUACUUCCUUGUAAAAUCCUAUAGUAAAUUCCUAUAAGUCUAUGUUGCCUUGACAUCCAUUUUGAAUCCUCCUCUGGUCUCACCUAACUGACACACCCAAACCUCACUCUCCUCCUGGUCUGGGCUCUCAUAAAGAGUGGCUUUUUUG